AGAGUUUGAUCAUGGCUCAGGAUGAACGCUAGCGGCAGGCCUAACACGAUGCAAGUCGAGGGGCAGCACGGUGUAGCAAUACACUGGUGGCGACCGGCGCACGGGUGCGUAACGCGUAUGCAACCUACCCAUAACAGGGGGAUAACACUGAGAAAUUGGUACUAAUACCCCAUAACAUCAGGACCGGCAUCGGUUCUGGUUGAAAACUCCGGUGGUUAUUGGAUGGGCAGUGCGUUGUAUUAGCUGGUUGGUGAGGUAACGGCUCACCAAGGCAACGAUACAGUAGGGGGACUGAGAGGUUAACCCCCCACAUUGGUACUGAGACACGGACCAAACUCCUACGGGAGGCAGCA
rnacentral:rRNA from 1 species